UCAUUAGGGUUUAUAUGUUGUAGAGGUCUAAGCUGCUGAUUUUACAGAAAAGGUAUUCUCUACCAGAUUAGCAUGCCUACCUGAAGAUGUAAAGAAAUCACUUGAAGAUCCAGAUAGCAGCUUGGAUAUCUCUGGCACUAAGAGGACAUGGUGAAGGUGAAUGAUAAUAUUUCGCAAGUUUGCUGAUAUAAGAUUUAUGGACUCCCCAACAAGCUGCAGUCUUGUCAUUGCCUCCUUGAGGAAGUUUUAAACCAAAAGGGAACCAUCAUACUGUCAACCAAAUAGAUGGCCUACCGAUGCUUUGCCCGAAGUUGAAAAAGGAAUGGUACCUGGUACUUGCAUGAAGUGGAAUACUGCAACAUUACUCAUUCAAAUGCCUGCAUUUGAAGAGGCACUAGUUGCAAAAGUUGUUUGUCCAACAAAAAGGAGUGCAUUCACGAUCCUUCGGAAAUCUUUCUAUUGUAAAUCUUCUAAUGCUAUACUGAUCAUUUUAAGACUAGGUAUGAACUUGCAGUAUUUCAGUAUUAAUAUCCAAUUCUAAAUCUAGACAUGCACUUUGCGUAAUUGGAUACUUUGUUCUUGUGUGUUUAUAAGGAUUAUGAUGGAUAACUUGUUUAUUAUCUUGGCAUGAGCUCUUAGGUACAUAAUUUACAUGAUGAGACAACCAUCAGGAGAAUUUUCUAAUUAGUGUAUAAGAUUUAGUUUUGAAAUUGAUAUUCUCUUUGGUGCAAUGUUGACAUCUGGUGUGGGUCGCACUUGGACAUCACAAAAACCUGGGAAGGGCCACUUCCGUGCAUUUCAAUGUUCUAGUCCAAGUUGGUUAUCUAGUUGGACUUCGUGAGGAAGACAUUAAUGAAUGUCAAUGUUUUUAAAGCACCACUGCAAAUCCUGUAAUAUUAUAUCUUGAUGCUUAUAGCGGUAGAUUUUUUUUUGCCAAUAUCUGUAUUGAUCUGGCACUUUAUUUGCUUAUACAUAUUUUUGCGUAUGUUACAAGAGAAAAUAAUGUCUCCGUCGGGUCUAAAACUUAUUGGUCCUGAAUUAACACUUUGAUACCUAGCAGGAAGCUAUAAUAUCAGUUGUGAAAGACAGUUCAUCAACACUUAAAGGAAAAAAAAAAUCUACAUUUGCCUAUGAACAACCACAUAAAAAUUUGUAUUAUUUACACAGGCUCCAAAUAUCUAAUGGGUUUCAUGUCAUAUUACCAGUGUAAAUUGUUGAGAUGGGAAUUUGGUUCCAACUUACCAUAAUCAGCUGCACUUCUUGCUUAUUCUAUACACAGAAUUUCUGAACUCUUUCGAGAAUAUCAGUUUACAUUUCUCCAUAUAUUGUUCAUAUUAUCUCUGUACAUAACACUUGAUGAGGGUAAUAUUUUGUCUGACCUUGGUAUAACCAAAGUGGAGUCACCUAGGCAAUAUCUGACCUCAUUCACUUUGGACGCAAACGAACUAAAAGUAUGAUCAUGCCAGCCCAAGAUUAGUGGCGGCAAUUACGCCCACACAGGCAUUAUCGCAUAAUUAGAGUGGCCAUAACUAUGAGACCAUGUGGAUAGCAUUUAUUGUGCCACUUAAUCACGAUUGUAGCCAUUGCUGUACACUUAUUAUACAUCCCACUCAUCUCGGUAAUGGCUACACUAUGCGGGGAAGCAGAAAACCCUCAGAUAAGCCAUUAGACAGACUCCAUUCUCUCUUUCACUUUUCAUUGAAUUUCAGCUGAUUUGAGCGUUGGAGGGCCCCCUCCCGGGAAGCUCUGCAAGAGGACUUUCUUUCAGGUCUAACUGUUAACUAAGGAGCAGUAACAACCAUACCCUCGAGCCCACACAGUGCAUCAGGAGAUUACUGACCAAUGGUAUGGUAUCAUUUUGGGAUGAAACCAGCAUGGGACUUGGUAAGGACAUUUUAAUCCCUGCUUGCAGGUCACAUGUUUGUAUGUGGCUUAUUCCUUUUCUUCUUUAUAUAUGAGGGCACAUGCACAGGUUCAUCCUUGAAUAUUGUGAUGACAAAUUGAACUCAAAGUUUAUCUCUUGUGAUCGUGGGAUUCAUGUAUCAAUCUUUUUCCACAAAAUUCCUCUAAAACCCCAAGUCAGUAAUAUGUUCUUGUGCAACUUGUUCCGUGUAAACAGAUUUUUCACUUUUUCCUUGAAUGUCUGCAUGAGUUCCAUUUGCUAACUAUUAAUUCUAAUGAUUUUACAUGCCCAGUUCUGACGGGUGCUCAUGAAGAAAAUAAAUUAUAAAUGUUAUCUGAUCUUUUUAUCUACAAUGGCUAUGAUCGAAAGGUAUAGCAUUUCAUGGCAAAUUAAGACCUUGAGCACAUACUUCAACAUUCAAGAUGUCACAAAGGGAUCAGGUUAUUAAUUUUCUGGAAGAGACACCUCAUCAUCUGAAGCUACGUGAUCACAACUUUAAUGCCUUGCUGAUUGGCACGCUGUAACAUUUUGUGCUAUGUUUCUGAUAUAAAUAUUAUAUUGUUCGAAAUCCCCAUUUUUCUCUACUUGAUUUAACCCUUUGGAUUUUCUAAAUUACUAAAACACCUGCACUGUGUUCACGGACAUAUUCACUGUUUCUAUGAACUGCUUUUAAGUGUUUAUGGUUCUUUCCAUAAGAAAUUGGUUUCCAAAGCCAUUAGAAAUCAUUUUUCCGCUGGAUGUUUUGUUCCUCAUUUCAUUUCAUUAGAAAUCAUUUUUCCGUUGGAUGUUUUGUUCCGAUCCACCAAUUUCUAAGCUUUUGUGCAGUCGGUUUCAUCAAAUGAAGCUCCAACUUUUGGAGUGUUCUGUGAGAUGCCGUGGUGCAUUCUAUGAUUAAACUACGUAAGAACACUUUUCAUGAUAUAUGUAAUUCCAAUCCGCCGACAUAUUGACAGUUUCUAUGAAUGUGUAUAUGGUUGCCCAUGUGGUAGCAGCUCUGUUAUGGUGGUAUUUGGUGAUCUAAUUUGCACCGUAAGUGCAAUAUGGAGAUGCCUAUGGCUUUGUUGGUGACGCUCGUGAAGCUACACCAUAGUGAAAAUAUAAGAGUGGCAUUGAGUUCGGUGUGGUUCCCAAAACCAACCUGCUACAAGGCCGAGUUCAGGUUCUACACCGCUCAUGUACAAGUAAAGCAGGAUUUUGAGAUUUUGGCCACCGAGGAUGGGAAAAGAAUAAGAGUGGAGUUAGAACGGGGAGACCUAUCAUGUGAAAAACACGCGCCAAAUCCAGUGUCAGAAGUCGAGGGCAAGAAAAAGUUACUUGCGAGGUUCAUGCAUCGUGAGGUUCUUUGAGUCUUCCAUAUAACGCCGUUGACAGGAACACACGAACGAGAGGAGCCGGGUAACUGCCCAUGGUUCGGAGUUCUAUUUCCACAUGUCCUUAUUUCGCAUACGGCGGCGGAGAUGGAUCCCUUCAUCACGUGUUCCUGGCAUGCGGUUAACCUCGCCUUCUUCUGUGAAAGAGUUGUGGGGUGUGGAUUGAUUUCAUGCUUAUUCCGACAGCACUCAGAAAUAUUUUAUUUUAUAAUUUUUCUGGAUGUAUGCAUAUCAGAAUAGUGUAAAUCGCGUCUUAAUAAAUAAAAAAAUAAAAAAUUAGGGUAGGUGCCGGUGUUUUAAACAACGUCGCCUUGGCGGCAACCACCAUUGGCUCCUGCAAAGGACCGGAUCCGAGGGGACCGCGCGCCAAUUUGGCUCCAUGGAGGAAAGCACCAGGGGAAUCUAUUCGGAGGCCGCCACCUUUAUAACAUGUGAGAGCCGUGAUGCUGAAGCUUGCCCACAUAAGAGGCUUUGACACGACUGCAGCUUUCACCACAUAUCUAAGACGUUAACUAAUUCAAACCCAUGGUUUUCUUUUUCCCUUUAAAAAAAAAAAUGUGUACGUACUUCAAUCAUUAUAUCAACUAUAUAUUCUAAAUUAAUUUUAACACAUCAG